rnacentral:misc_RNA from 1 species
AAUAUCACAGAAAAGCAGCCCAAAACAAAACAACCAAAGAGUAAGAGCAAAAGACCAUUCUUUGCCUUGAACAACAACAGGGGAUGAAGCAGAGAAUGUUUUGGGACAAACCAUCUAGGCACGAGCUACAAAUCCAAGCAACCAACCAUCAUAUCCCAUAGAGUUUCUUACUGUCGGAAAGAGGGAGGGGGAACUAGGCUUUCUUGCUUUUUUUGUUGUUCAGAGUUGAUUCUGAUAGAUCAUGCCAGUGGUGUGGCAGGAUUCUGGGUUUAAUUUGUCAUUCCGUGAGACGGUGGAGGUGGUAGUUGUGGUGGCUGGAAGCAGUCUAUUGGUGGAGGUGGCUUAAAAGUUUGAGCUAAAUGAAACAAGCUCAGAUUGACUUGUUAAUUGGUACAAGCAAUUAACAGCACGAAACAAAUGCUACCAGUUCAU